UACGUAGGGUGCAAGCGUUGUCCGGAAUUAUUGGGCGUAAAGAGCUCGUAGGCGGUUUGUCGCGUCUGCUGUGAAAACCCGAGGCUCAACCUCGGGCCUGCAGUGGGUACGGGCAGACUAGAGUGAUGUAGGGGAGACUGGAAUUCCGGGUGUAGCGGUGGAAUGCGUAGAGAUCCGGAAGAACACCGGUGGCGAAGGCGGUCUGCUGGGCAGUAGCUGACACUGAGGCGCGACAGCGUGGGGGAGCAAACAGG
rnacentral:rRNA from 1 species